rnacentral:rRNA from 1 species
GACGAACGCUAGCGGCGUGCUUAACACAUGCAAGUCGAACGGAAAGGCCCUGCUUUUGUGGGGUGCUCGAGUGGCGAACGGGUGAGUAACACGUGAGUAACCUGCCCUUGACUUUGGGAUAACUUCAGGAAACUGGGGCUAAUACCGGAUAGGAGCUCCUGCUGCAUGGUUGGGGUUGGAAAGUUUCGGCGGUUGGGGAUGGACUCGCGGCUUAUCAGCUUGUUGGUGGGGUAGUGGCUUACCAAGGCUUUGACGGGUAGCCGGCCUGAGAGGGUGACCGGCCACAUUGGGACUGAGAUACGGCCCAGACUCCUACGGGAGGCAGCAGUGGGGAAUAUUGCACAAUGGGCGGAAGCCUGAUGCAGCAACGCCGCGUGCGGGAUGACGGCCUUCGGGUUGUAAACCGCUUUCGCCUGUGACGAAGCGUGAGUGACGGUAAUGGGUAAAGAAGCACCGGCUAACUACGUG